GUUAUCUAUUGUUUUUAAUUUCUUGUUUUCCUGAUUUUUCAAAUUAAUUUAACUUCGUUCUUAAUUGUUAAUUAUUGUAGAUUUUUGUCACUCUGGUUUCAUCUCAUCGUUAUUAAACUGUAGAAAUUUUAACGUUUUUAAUUUGCAGUUGGAUGAACAGUUACAAGACAGCUCAAGUGGUUAUUUAUUUGUUCGGUCAAUGAUGUAAAUUGCUUGCUUUUUGGUUGAUUGCCAUAUUUUUAAUGAAUUAUUUUGUCUCAACAAUUAAGUCAAAUUUUGUGCUUUGCUUCAUUCAACAAUGGUAAUUAUCAAUGACAUCUAGAUUGAUGUUAAUCUUAUGCUGAUUCAAGUGAACUCCAAGCUUCAUGGUUUUUCUUGGUUACCUGUUAUUAAUUAUAUACCUGACAUUGGAAACUUACAAGUGAACUUUGAUUGGAAACUUAUUAUUAGAAGAGAGAUACUUUGUAACCAUUUGACCUUAGGUCAGAAGAAAUGGAGGUCAAUAUUUUAAUGAAGAUAACGUGGAUCAAGUUUAGCGUUUUGCCUGUUAUAGCGAUAAAUUUUGAUGAUAAAGUCGUUUGAUCGCUUUAGAGGAGUUACAUUCAUUUGGAGGUUGAUUAUUGGACAGACGAUCGUCAAAACAUAUUGAAGUUCAUCACCAGUUUAAAUGUUCAUAUUAAUCGUUUAAAACCAAGAUGUGACCAGAAAUUCAGCAUAAAAUGUGAUAUCAAAAGUUUAUCCAAAGUGUGAAAGUCCAAAUUUAUGAAUAGAUUGAGCUGAGUUAUUCAAUUACGCAUUUACCUGAAAUGCAAAGUUGAUCAGAUAAAUGAAUGAUUUGAAUGGCUGAUCAAACGGAAUAAUUGAUGGUCAAAACAACAAUUUUACCUUUUCCUUUUCAAGUUUAAAUUGUAAUAACACUGAUUUUAUCCAUUGUUGUGUUCAGGUUUUUUUACCUUGAAUUUGUUUAUUCAGAUUGAUCUUUCAUUUGAUCAACUUUGAAUCCUUUUUGCAACUUUCAACAAUCGAAGGAUGACAAUUAUAACUUUCUUUAUUCUUACCUUUACAAUAUGGAAAUUGUUGUUUGAAUUAUUGACAUCUGAGGGAAAAUAAUCAAUUACAAGGUAAAAUGAACAAUAUGAACAGACUUGGUUAACCAUUGAAAGGCAAUAAUGCAACAAUAACGAAGUCAACAGUGUUGAAUGUCAUUUUGCAGUCAUUUAUUUGGAUUUUACUUUCUAUAACUCGACGACCAUACAAAAUACGCUAUAAAUGAAUAAUAACCUUUAAUUGGAAUCAAAUAAAGACCAAUCGAGUGUAACA